rnacentral:rRNA from 1 species
UGGGGAAUAUUGCACAAUGGGCGCAAGCCUGAUGCAGCCAUGCCGCGUGUGUGAAGAAGGCCUUCGGGUUGUAAAGCACUUUCAGCGAGGAGGAAGGUGGUGAACUUAAUACGUUCAUCAAUUGACGUUACUCGCAGAAGAAGCACCGGCUAACUCCGUGCCAGCAGCCGCGGUAAUACGGAGGGUGCAAGCGUUAAUCGGAAUUACUGGGCGUAAAGCGCACGCAGGCGGUUUGUUAAGUCAGAUGUGAAAUCCCCGGGCUCAACCUGGGAACUGCAUUUGAAACUGGCAAGCUAGAGUCUCGUAGAGGGGGGUAGAAUUCCAGGUGUAGCGGUGAAAUGCGUAGAGAUCUGGAGGAAUACCGGUGGCGAAGGCGGCCCCCCUGGACGAAGACUGACGCUCAGGUGCGAAAAGCGUGGGGAGCAAAACAGGAUUAGAUACCCUGGUAGUCCAGCGCUGUAAAACGAUGUCGAUUUGGAGGUUGUGCCCUUGAGGCGUGGCUUCCGGAGCUAACGCGUU